AUUCUCUCUACCUUACCAGAACUCUGGGGUCUAUAUGCCGUAUGAAGCCUCCACUUUAUACCAAGUAUAUGAGUCAAUUGUUGUAGGCACUGAUGAACAAAAGCUGGACCAUUGUCCGAUCCUAUAGAGCAGGGUAGUCCAUAUCGGGGUAUUAUUUCUCGUAGCAGGAAUCUCACGACUUCUCCUGCUUUCUCUGUACGAGCAGGACAUGCUUCUACCCAGCCUGAAUAGGUGCACACCACUACCAGCAGGUAGCGAUGUCCACCCGAUUUAGGCAUCACUGUAUAGUCAAUUUGUAAAUCGGACAUGGGAAGUCCCCCCAUAAACUGGACUCCUGGUGGCUUUACCGGUCCUUGUCUUGCAUUAUUUUUAGCACACGUUACACAUCUACGUACAAUGGCCUGAGUCAAGUUGGACAAUCUUGG